rnacentral:ncRNA from 1 species
AUUGCGAUAGUUCUUAGACUUUUCCUCAAUACACCAGCUAUCAACAGACACGGAUGUCUGUUGAAGUGAGAUAUGGGACAAGGAUGUCCCGUAUCGAACGGUAGCGGUCAUAGCUACUACAUAUCCGAAAAGUCUUAGAAAUAUCCAAUUGAA